UCCCUGAUGGUUCAGUGAUUAAGACUCUGUGCUUCUAAUACAAGGGGCCCGAGUUUGAUCCCUGGUUGGGGAA
rnacentral:tRNA from 1 species